rnacentral:lncRNA from 1 species
UCUCUCCAGAGACCUCCUCUGACAAGUAUGUCAUGGACGUUCCCCCUCCACUUCCCCGCAUCCGUCAUGGUACCCAGCACAACAGUCAUUUGGGUGACUUGUCAAUUUGGAUUUUGGUCUGUCUCCUCACAAAGGAUGUGCAUUCUGUGAGCAGGGUCUUGGUCUUGUCUCUGACUCUGUCCUCAGUGCUUUGAGGUGCGCCCGACUCACCGCUCCUUGAUGAUGUGGUCAAGUUUGUAGUUGGGCUUAUUGUCCUUCAGACGCUCCACUGUGUUCCACUCACUUUUCCCAUAGGCCUUCCGGAGCUUCCGAACAAACACCUGGGAAAAAGGAAGGACCACUGAGCGUGGGCCAAGGAAUACUGGAUACCUCUCUUCCACAGUGGACGGAUCCGAGGGGUGGGCAGCCUGGCACUGCCUCCAGGAGCCGGCCCUGGCUGCUGCUGGUUUCUGUUGUCUCUGUGGCAUUUGAACGAUCUCUGUCUAUGGAAUGGAAGACUUGGUCUCCUGGGAGGAACCUCAGAAAGAACCAGAUUAGAAGCUGUUUCUUUCAGCAGAGAAUGCACCAGAAAGACCCUGAAAUAGCACACUCUUUGUCUCAGGAGCAAAAAUUUAAUCUUAGGAAAGAACCAGGGGAAACUGUUAAUAAGUAAAGCAGCAAUCAUUGGCCAGCUCAGUGCAAGCGAUUUCCAGACACGGAAUCUCAGUGAAUUCUUGAAGCAUCCCAUUGAGACAGUGACCUCCUCCUUCAAAUAGACUUUUUCAAAAUGAGAACCAAGACCUGUCAUGUAAGGGUAAAAGAUCCCA